rnacentral:rRNA from 1 species
GAUGAACGCUAGCGGCAGGCUUAAUACAUGCAAGUCGAGGGGCAGCGCAGUGUAGCAAUACAUGGGCGGCGACCGGCAAACGGGUGCGGAACACGUACGCAAUCUACCCAAAACUGAUGAAUAGCCCUCCGAAAGGAGGAUUAAUACAUCGUAACUUAAUGAAGUGGCAUCGCUUUAUUAAUAUAGCUCCGGCGGUUUUGGAUGAGCGUGCGCCUGAUUAGGAGUUGGCGGGGUAACGGCCCACCAAGCCUGCGAUCAGUAACUGGUGUGAGAGCACGACCAGUCACACGGGCACUGAGACACGGGCCCGACUCCUACGGGAGGCAGCAGUAAGGAAUAUUGGUCAAUGGACGCAAGUCUGAACCAGCCAUGCCGCGUGAAGGAUGAAGGUCCUCUGGAUUGUAAACUUCUUUUAUCUGGGACGAAACCUCUUAUUCUUAAGAGACUGACGGUACCAGAGGAAUAAGCACCGGCUAACUCGUGCCAGCCGCCG